rnacentral:rRNA from 1 species
UACGGGGGGGCCAAGCGUUGUUCGGAAUUACUGGGCGUAAAGGGCUCGUAGGCGGCCAACUAAGUCAUACGUGAAAUCCCUCGGCUUAACCGGGGAACUGCGUCUGAUACUGGAUGGCUUGAGAUUGGGAGAGGGAUGCGGAAUUCCAGGUGUAGCGGUGAAAUGCGUAGAUAUCUGGAGGAACACCGGUGGCGAAGGCGGCAUCCUGGACCGACACUGACGCUGAGGAGCGAAAGCCAGGGGAGCAAACGGG